UAGAAAGCUUCAGUCGAAACUGAGCUUAGUUUUAAAUCAGUACAGUGGAUUGCGUCAUUAUUUUAAUAAACUAUGCUUUCGAAAAAUAUAAGCAAUGGAAUCUUAUACAGUAAUAGAAACAGGAAAUGCAGAAGCAAUAAAAUCGUUCAGCUCGUAUUUAUCAAAUGCAGAGGAUAAUUCUAAUUCUAUUGUGGAAACUCCAGAAUAACCAAGUAUAUCUCCGAAAGUGAUUGAGACUGUGUAUAAAAAAAUCCGAAAUCUGAAAAGUGAAAGCACUAUAUAAGAAGAUAUGCGAGGAAAGCACCUUAAUCGGCCACAUAGACUGCUUUCACAUGAUACUGAAAGCG